GUCUGGUUUACAAUGGCAAUGCAUUCAUACCAUCUGUAUUCUGGGCCCUUUUCUUUAUCUUCUUCAACCUCACUUUCCCUCAUUAAUUUGCUUCGUACCCUGUUGAAGAUCUAGAACUGGGUUUUGGUUUAAUGGAGCAUUGCUUUAGUAAAGUUUGAAACUUUGGAUUGAGCUGAAAUCGAAAUCGCAUUGAACAUUUUGUAUGCUUAAACUUAGAGCUGAGGUAGUGGAGGUCGGAGAGGCAGGCGGUUCUGGAAAAUGACGACGGAGGGAAUGGUGGUCAUCCCCUAUGGAAAAUGGCGGGAAAUCAAGGUGUGGUAGAGUCUAGGGUCAUU
rnacentral:lncRNA from 1 species